rnacentral:RNase_P_RNA from 1 species
GAGGAAAGUCCGGGCUCCAUAGGGUAAAGUGCCAGGUAACGCCUGGGAGGCGUGAGCCUACGGAAAGUGCCACAGAAAAUAUACCGCCUUAGCUGAUGCCUAGCAGCAGGUAAGGUAAGGGUGAAAUGGUGCGGUAAGAGCGCACCGCGCGAUUGGCAACAGUCGUGGCAGGGCAAACCCCACUCGGAGCAAGACCAAAUAGGAAUCCAUCCUGCCAAAAGCAGGAUCAUAUGACCCAUAUGGGAUUCGGGUAGGUCGCUUGAGGCCUAUGGUGACGUAGGUCCUAGAUGAAUGAUUGUCCAAGACAGAACCCGGCUUA